rnacentral:rRNA from 1 species
UACGUAGGGUGCGAGCGUUGUCCGGAAUUAUUGGGCGUAAAGAGCUCGUAGGCGGUUUGUUGCGUCUAUCGUGAAAACCUGCAGCUUAACUGUGGGCUUGCGGUGGAUACGGGCAGACUUGAGUUCGGUAGGGGAGACUGGAAUUCCUGGUGUAGCGGGUGAAAAUGCGCAGAGUAUCAGGAGGAACACCGGUGGCGAAGGCGGGUCUCUGGGCCGAUACUGACGUGAGGAGCGAAAGCGUGGGGAGCGAACGG